GUACACGCUGUGACUAGCAUAUCAAUAAGCGGAGGAAAAGAAACUAACAAGGAUUCCCCUAGUAACGGCGAGUGAAGCGGGAAGAGCUCAAAUUUGAAAUCUUAAAGGGUUUCCCUUUACGAAUUGUAGUUUAAAGAAGUGUUUUCUGUUGAGGUUUUGGUAAAAGUUCUUUGGAAUAGGACAUCAUAGAGGGUGAGAAUCCCGUAUUUGACCUUUACUUUCAACUUUGUGAUACACUUUCAAAGAGUCGGAUUGUUUGGGAAUGCAGUCCAAAAUGGGUGGUAAAUUUCAUCUAAAGCUAAAUAUUGGCGAGAGACCGAUAGCGAACAAGUACCGUGAGGGAAAGAUGAAAAGAACUUUGAAAAGAGAGUUAAACAGUACGUGAAAUUGUCAAAAGGGAAGCGUUUGACACCAGUGUUGUUUUUCUGAAAAUCAAUUAAAGAACUGUUUAUGCUAAGUUGUUUAGACUUUAUCAGCUAACUGUUUAGUUUUGAGCUUUUCUUUAAUGCACUUUUCAGUUAACAAGUCAACAUCAAUUUCUUUUGCUGUAAAAAAGCUUGAGGAAGGUGGCUUGAGAUUCGUCUUAAGUGUUUAUAGCCUCUUGCCUAUGCAGUCGGAGAGAUUGAGGUCUGCAGCGUAGAUCCUUCGGGGCUAAAUGCAUUUGUGCUAAGUUAUAGCAUUAUAUAGACAACUUGUUGACUAUGAUUUGUCUUGUAGCUUACUCGCUUAUGUUAUUUUACCUACGCUUAGGAUGUUGAGUCGUAGAGCACGCAG
rnacentral:rRNA from 1 species